UACGUAGGGUGCGAGCGUUGUCCGGAAUUACUGGGCGUAAAGGGCGCGUAGGCGGCCGCCUAAGUCAGACGUGAAAUCCCUCGGCUCAACCGGGGAACUGCGUCUGAAACUGUCGGGCUUGAGGCCGGGAGGGGGUAGCGGAAUUCCCAGUGUAGCGGUGAAAUGCGUAGAUAUUGGGAGGAACACCGGUGGCGAAGGCGGCUACCUGGACCGGUUCUGACGCUGAUGCGCGAAAGCGUGGGUAGCAAACAGG
rnacentral:rRNA from 1 species